UUAAGGUAGGACUCACUGUGUAGCUGAUGCUGGUCUCAGACUCUGCCUGUCUCCACAUCUCAAGUCCCCAGGUUAACUUAUCGAUACCAUCCUGUCAUUUGAUGGGAUUUCAAGUACCCAUCUCAGAGGAAGGACUACAGGCAAGAUCCCUCUGUACCUUGCUGAGCACAGCAGGUAUGAAGAACCAAAUGAAAAAGACUCACUACUGUUGCUUCAUCUCUGCAUGGCUAGUUGAGAAGGCAUGGUGUGGUGUGACAAGCCAGUGAAUUUGCACCAUAUGCAAAGCUUCCACAGAUAAUAAAGCCGAGAGCAUUGUUUAAAGCAUGGUGCAAAUUGUUUCUCCAACACAGGUGAUGCCAUUUUUGGCUUUCCCAGUGCAGGCUAGUCAGAUGCUGGAACCCCAGGGAGCUGCUGAAGUGUGCAGAUAAACCGCAUAGGAGCUGGACCCAAGGGUGCAGCUCCUGGGGGUGCCCACUUGGUUUACCCCCCCCCCCCCGCCAUGUUCCUUUAGUUUCGUCUUGAGUUCUCCAGCACCGAGUCCCUCAGCUCCCCAAGCAAGAUGGCUGAACACGCUGCGGGCCAGCCACACAUCCCACAAUCGCUUCUUCGGACAUGAAAAUGAUUGAAUUCCCCGAGCAGAAAAUAAAAACCACGAAACGGGCCGAAUAACAAGCUUCACUUCUGUUCCAUCAAACACGGGAUUUAAAUACACAAUUACAAUUUUAUCCCCUCCCAUCAUGGCCACUAUCCUGUGGAAAACAGCCAACUUGACACCAGCUGAAAUGAGCUCGGUGGUCCCAGGGCUAAGUGGGGUUAGCCAAGCAGUCCUGGAAAAGCCCAUUCUUGUGUAUGACUUUGAGAGAAAGCCAUUAGUGCUCUGCGUUUGUGUUCUGGCUGAUAAUUAAAACAAUGCAACCCACAAGAAGAGCAAAUCGUGAUGCCCUCACUGUCUCUAACUUCAGCCCCUUCUGACGGAUAAUUUCCACAGAGUUACCCCCAAAACGUCAAGGCAUUUGCAAGCAGGAGAUGCAAUCCUCAAGAUGUUCAAAAGGAGCACUAGCCAGUCUUUCAAGUCCUUGAUGCUCAAAGUGUAGGUCCACGGGCCAACACCAGGGACAGGUCCCCAGAGCUUGCAAGAGGACAACCCUGUUCGCCUCCCUCCCAGGUGACUGACUUCCUUUAAGAUUCAAGACCAGCUGAGUAGUCUUGUUUUCAGCUCCCAGGAGGAGGAUGCAUCAGAAUAUGAGAUAAUUUCACAUUUCAAGCGGUUCCUUGCCACAGGGUGGUGGUGGGGUGUUCGGCGGCUACGCAGUCCAACAACACGUGUGGGCUAAGUAUAGAGAAGGA